AGAAGUCCAGCCAGCUUCACCUCCCAUUGGCAUUUGCCCCUGGACUUUGCACCUAGCCAGGGCAGUCCCACCGCCAGGGGCUUGGCAAGUCCGUGCCCACCAGGAACCCUCGCCGGCCCAGGAGCGCCCGUGCCUCCCUGUCCACACCUCACAGCCAGCAGAGGGAGCUGGUUCCGGCCUCGGCCGGCCCCAGAGAGGGGCCCCACAGCGCUGUGGCGGGCAGAAGAGCUAUUUGAGCAGGGCCAGAGAGGACGCUGAGGCCAAGGAGGCACUGAGAGGGAGCCAGGGCUGCUAACACAUUGUCACCUCUCACUGGGAUUACAGUGGUGGCAAAAUUAAUAUAUCUACCUUCUCACGUGUGCACAUAUGAUGGUCAUAUAAAAGAAAUCUAGUCAAAAAAGAAAAGGAAGUUCUGCAACAACAGAAAAUGUGUGACAAAAAUGCCAGAAUUAUUAUAGUCUCCCUUUAGUUCCUGAAUAUCAUUAAGAAAAGAAAAUUAAUCUGGUACUCUUAGAAGAGUUCCAGGGCUAUGAAUAACUAUUCUAUGAAAAAAUAAUAUCACAGUGAAUUUACUUCAUUUCCCUAAAACAUCUAAGUAUAUAGGUCUUAUUACUUGGGCAAGGUGCUGAUAACCGUGGCAUCCUACACAUGUCAGAGUCUGUACCACAGAUGAAGAACAUGAAAAUAUGAAAUAUUUUUGCUUAGAUGAGUGCUGCUCCCCUUCACCCUAAAGAAAGGGAGAAAAAUCUUCCCUCCAAAAGAAGAAUCUUGAGUUCUUACUUUAAUUUAGAGUGUAAAUAAGUAUAUCCAUAGGAAAGGUAAAUCCCAGGACUCAUACCUCUCCUUGAAAUUUAAAAUAUAGCUCUGAAGAGGUGAAUCUACAUGGAGUUCAAAAAGAGAGAGUAUUCCCUCCAGACAAAGGCUUUCAAGCAACCACAGGAGAAAAUGCCCUGUGUAGGGAUAAUGAAUAUUAAUCUAAAAUAAUUUUUUCUAAUAUAUGGUUUAAUUCCAU
rnacentral:lncRNA from 1 species